AACGCUGGCGGCGCGCCUAACACAUGCAAGUCGAACGGUUAAAGCACCUUUUAGGUGUGUAUAAAGUGGCGAACGGCUGAGUAACACGUGGGCAACCUGCCCUCCUCUUGGGGAUAGCCUCGGGAAACCGAGGAUAAUACCCGAUACUUCAAUGUGGCCGCAUGACGACAUUGAGAAAGCUUUUGCGGAGAAGGAUGGGCCCGCGGCCUGUUAGCUUGUUGGUGGGGUAGAGGCCUACCAAGGCAAUGAUAGGGUAGCUGGGUUGAGAGACCGACCAGCCAGAUUGGGACUGAGACACGGCCCAGACUCCUACGGGAGGCAGCAGUGGGGAAUCUUGCACAAUGGGCGAAAGCCUGAUGCAGCGACGCCGCGUGCGGGACGAAGGCCUUUCGGGUUGUAAACCGCUUUCAGCAGGGACGAGGCGAAAGUGACGGUACCUGCAGAAGA
rnacentral:rRNA from 2 species